rnacentral:tRNA from 5 species
GGAAGAGUGGCAGAGUGGCUGAAUGCGUCUGUCUCGAAAACAGAUUUACUCGUAAGGGUAACGGGGGUUCAAAUCCCUCCUCUUCCG